AUUUACGUCGGCUGUAUAUAGCGUAGACAUACAUGUAUACAGUAGCUCAAAAUCCGUACAGAUAACACGCCAGUUGGCUUAAGAAAGUGGGCGCGUAUGUUUAUGUAAAGUCAUGAUGUCAUGUUGAGAUGUAAACUACU